AUUGAACGCUGGCGGAAUGCUUUACACAUGCAAGUCGAGCGGCAGCGCGGGGCAACCUGGCGGCGAGCGGCGAACGGGUGAGUAAUACAUCGGAACGUACCCAGUUGUGGGGGAUAGCCCGGCGAAAGCCGGAUUAAUACCGCAUACGACCUGAGGGUGAAAGGGGGGGAGUCGCAAGACCUCUCGCAGUUGGAGCGGCCGAUGGCGGAUUAGCUAGUUGGUAGGGUAAAGGCCUACCAAGGCGACGAUCCGUAGCUGGUCUGAGAGGACGACCAGCCACACUGGAACUGAGACACGGUCCAGACUCCUACGGGAGGCAGCAGUGGGGAAUUUUGGACAAUGGGGGCGAACCCUGAUCCAGCCAUUCCGCGUGAGUGAAGAAGGCCUCGGUUGUAAGACUCUUUCGGUCAGGAACGAAACGGUAGGUCCGUAACUACGGAUUGCUAAUGACGGUACCGUGAAGAAGAAGACACCGGCUAACUAACGUGCCAGCAGCCGCGG
rnacentral:rRNA from 1 species